UUGGAGGGCAAGUCUGGUGCCAGCAGCCGCGGUAAUUCCAGCUCCAAUAGCGUAUAUUAAAGUUGUUGCAGUUAAAAAGCUCGUAGUUGAAUUUCGGGGUUCUACCGUUGGUCGGGCAAUUGUCUGUACUGGCGUGUAGAAUUUCUACCUUCUGGGGAAUCAUCAUGUUAUUUAUUUAGCGUGGUGGGAAACCAGGACCUUUACCUUGAAAAAAUUAGAGUGUUCAAAGCAGGCUUACGUCUGAAUACAUUAGCAUGGAAUAAUAGAAUAGGACGGUUGGUUCUAUUUUGUUGGUUUCUAGGAUCACCGUAAUGAUUAAUAGGGAUAGUUGGGGGCAUUAGUAUUCAAUUGUCAGAGGUGAAAUUCUUGGAUUUAUUGAAGACUAAUUACUGCGAAAGCAUUUGCCAAGGAUGUUUUCAUUAAUCAAGAACGAAAGUUAGGGGAUCGAAG
rnacentral:rRNA from 1 species